CCAGGCUCCUGUCCGCCCCCGUUCCUCCCCCGGGGUUCCCGGCAGCAGCUGCAGCCUCGAAACACACCAUCCCCUCCUAGCGACUCUGGGGACCCGAGGACCCCGCACGGAGAGCUUGGAGAUGCUCAACUGCUUGCCAACGAUCACAAAGCGCUCCUGUGGUGGAGAUGGGAUAGAGCCCCAAACCCUGAGAAUUUCCCUUGCAAAGCGCUGCCUCCUCGGUGAGCUGUGUCAAAGGGAGAAGAGAUUCGUUUAAUCAAAAGAGAAAAAGAUCAGUAAGGAAAACGUGGUGGGGGCGGCGAUUAGAAAAAGACGAAGUUAUAAGGAGUUAAGAAUUUUAAAAAAUGGGAUUUACAAGCGGCCAUCCCAAAGCAGGUUAGGGGAAUGAGUAGGAUCUUAUACAAUCUGAAUUGAGUUCCAGUGGUGUUAGAUAUUGCAUGAUGGAUAAGCACAUUAUGGUGACAAUUAAGUGCUUUUUGGCUACACUGUUAAAAAAAAAAAAAAACAACAACUGGCAAGCCUGACAUUUCAAGUGAAAGCUCUCAUAUGCUGUCCUGCCCUUUAGCUCAUGGGAUCAAUGGGAUGCUAUUCUUAUUCGAAUUAUUACAAGCACUUUUCUCAGGGUGCCCAAUCAAGAUCCAUGACACGAUGGCUUUAAAAUAAAGAUUCUCAUCCUUGUUGUCAAUUAAGACCUAA